ACUGUGCGCUGUUGUCAGCCUUGGUCGAUCGUUGGCGUCCAGAGACUCACACGUUCCACCUACCAGUUGGAGAGAUGGCAGUCACCCUCUAGGACGUCUCUUUGCUUCUUGGUUUGCCACUCGCUGACCGAGCCGUGGCUGCCUGGGCUGUUGACCCGGACUGGAGGCAGGAGAUCUUGCAGUGGUUUGUUGGAGUUAUUCCACCGGUUGAGGACCAGCCGCCUCAGGUCGACUUUACUGACAGGCAUGGACCGAAAAAGGCUUGGCUGCUGCAGUUCACGGCGGAGCACCUUGGUGAGAAUGCGGAGGACUGAAGGGUUAGCAGGAACCUGGAGGCGUACCUGUUGUGGUUGUUCGGAUGGAUGUUGUUUACCAUUUCGCACCACGACAGUGUCGACAAGCACUUGAUCUGGUAUGCUCAGCAGAUUGCCGACGCUCCUUUGGAUGACGUUCCUCAGUUCAGUUGGCCGGUUGUCCGUUACCAUGCUCGCUGCUACUGAGAGGACCUUGUGCGAUGUGUGCACGAGGAGGAGCUCGACUGGCACAUUGGCCGGUUGUCCGUUGUUGCUUAUGUUGUGGUCGUUCAAGCGGUUCGACAUCGGACGGCCCAAGCUUCAUAGCUACGAGCCAUACGAGCAGGCCUUGUACCACCUGUACGAUGACUGACACUUCGACGUGAUCGAUAGGCCUACCAUGGGAUCGAUCUGAAUGAAACGAGAUGUAAGAUUAUUUCAAUUUUUAAAUUUUGAUUACUAUGUCAUAUUUUCAAAGUAUGUGCAUAUAUUAAUUCACGGCAUUACUUGACUACUGCCUACGUGGGUGAGUGGCACCGGACGUUUGACGUAUCCUGCAUUUGUCGCCGCGUUCUACCAGUUGACACCAGACAGGGUUCGGUGGAACCCGUACACUGCAGUACUGACGGCAGCACGUGCUCCAUGAGGUAUGUCGUUGCUUUUCUACCGUGACCAGCUGCACUGGUUCACGAAGAAGCAUUUGGUUUUCGACAUUUUUGUCGAGCCCUACUGUGUGCACCGAGUGUUUCGCCAGCUUAGUGUGCGCCAGGAGUUCCCACUGCCACAUGAGACUCGAUCAUACUUCACACAUGCUAACAAGGAAAGGGCAAGAUGUUGCCUAUGAGGCAACUUGGGCUACAAAGAUAUAGACGUGGGCGGAUCAAUGGCUACAGGCUGCCGACGACGUCCACCAGACGCAGCUUGCGUAAAACGAGGCCAUGUACCCGGCCUACUUGCAUUGGUACCACCGCGCUACACGUUGGAGGUUCUUCCCCGUGCCACAGGACCCCGAGCCCCAUGAUGCGGAGAUUACGGACACAAUUGCCACCGAGCCUCCCGCUGCCUUUCAUGUUCUUGUAAUUGACUUUUCUUGACAUUAUGGGAUGCAGUGGUUAUGUGCGUAAUCGAACGAAUUAUUGAUAUCUACGUAUGCUCAAUUUUACAGACCGAUACUUGCAGCGAUGUCGGCGCGGAGUUGUUGUCCUUCAUGGACCGUCUUGAGGCGAACCCACCGCGUGUGGCAAGGAUGGAGUUAGCGAGUGGCCUACGACGCCUCUCACAGAGCUGUGUUGAGGCUGUUAGGCAUGCAACGGGCAGAGGGAUGCCAGAGGUGGUGAUUCCCGAGCAUAGGUCAACUCCAGUGUGUAGCACCCGCACGACUUCACCGGCAGGUGCUCCUGGUCCGUCGACCACUUGUGCGCCGUCCACCGCAGCAGGACCUUCAGCAGUGGACUCUACUGGGGCCGCUACGCCUACCGGUCAGCAGCGGUCGAGGCAGCUUCAGGCAGCCUGGACAGUUUCUACGUGCCGGAUCAAGACAUCUGGCCUCGGGAGGACCUACUCGACGCCUGGCAGAUGCCUGGAGCCCCCACACCGACACAGCCGACCAGGACGACCCAGUUGAGUCCACUCCAUUUCACCCCCCGCCACGUACUCACAAACCAGCGGAGCGUUUCAUGUUUCCGUCUGGUCAGCUGGCCAAGAAGAGAGAAGAAGUAGGUUUAGGACAUUGCAGAUGCACUCCAUUUUAUGUUCUAGUUGUCUUAUUUUUCAUCUCGAUCGUUGUGUACGAUGAUUGUGUAUCCCACGCGCGUGUCUUUCCUGGAUGCCAUGUUAGGUUGCAUCAGAUUCUUUAGCACCCCCACUCGUUCACUGUGUGUGCAUGUGCUCGUACGUGAAUUGAUUGCUCUGCGCUUUUCAGGUUGCGUGAACCAUGCCUAUAGACCAUCUACCUCCAUCUAUAAAUAGGGACAUCACCACAUCACAUAGGAAACCACUCCACAUCCCCCCAUUACAACCAUGUCUUCCUCUGGUUCCACCUAUAUUCCGUGGAACAAGAUUAGAGAACCUGUACCUCAAGGAGUGCAGGUUCCAAUGUGCUUCUGCGGCUCGUAAUGCAAGCUGAUGGAGCCCAAGGUUCUAGGCGACGACUACGGCAUGAGGUUCUCCAUGUGUGACAACUACGAGUACGACCCACCAAAGCGGUAUGGCAAGGACAAACCCAAGGUAGCAGCUCCAACUAUCUGGUUUGAGCAUUCAGAGUUCUCUAAGUCCGAUCUAACUCGGUUUAGAAAUAGAGUCCACCACCUCUUUGUGAUUUCAUACAGUGGCUGGACACGGAGCAAUCGCCGGAAGCUAAGGAACACAUUGAGCGCGAAGCAAGGUGGGCUGCAGAAAGGUGGCGGUGAAUGCUGCACGAGGAGAAAAUGGAGGAGAAGCGCAAGAAAGAACGGGAAGAGAUCUAGAAGAGGUUUGCAAAUGUGGAACGUUGGGAGGCGGAGGAGGGUGAAGCCGAUAGGGAGAGGAAGCGAGAGAGGGCCCGCCGUGCGAAGGAGGCGAGUCCCGAGACUAUUAUGAAGGGGAAGUAUCCUCGGUGCACUCAGUAGAUCAGCACCGUUUAAUCUCUGCAUUUCAGAUUCCCUAAGGCAUGUUAGGUGUAGUUCGAACACGACGUUAGCAUGUUCCAUGCACAUGCCACUGCAAUUUGUUUUCUAAUUUCAAUGUCUACUCAAUCAGCAUCUGUACUUUGUACUGCAAUCUGUGAUUUGUCCGCUAGCUGAAAGUUUUUAA